rnacentral:rRNA from 1 species
UACGGGGGGGGCAAGCGUUGUUCGGAAUUACUGGGCGUAAAGGGCUCGUAGGCGGCCAACUAAGUCAGACGUGAAAUCCCUCGGCUUAACCGGGGAACUGCAUCUGAUACUGGAUGGCUUGAGAUUGGGAGAGGGAUGCGGAAUUCCAGGUGUAGCGGUGAAAUGCGUAGAUAUCUGGAGGAACACCGGUGGCGAAGGCGGCAUCCUGGACCGGUAUUGACGCUGAGGCGCGAAAGCUAGGGGAGCAAACGGG